rnacentral:tRNA from 1 species
GAAAUAUGGAACCCGGGGGUAAGCUUCUAACUUAAACCCUAAGCAGUGAAAAUCUGUUUAUAUUUCU